rnacentral:rRNA from 1 species
CGAAAGCCUGACGGAGCAAUACCGCGUGGGGGAGGAAGGCUCUUGGGUCGUAAACCUCUUUUCUCAGGGAAGAAUAAAUGACGGUACCUGAGGAAUCAGCAUCGGCUAACUCCGUGCCAGCAGCCGCGGUAAUACGGAGGAUGCAAGCGUUAUCCGGAAUGAUUGGGCGUAAAGCGUCCGCAGGUGGCAGUACAAGUCUGCUGUCAAAGGUCAAGGCUUAACUUUGGACAGGCAGUGGAAACUGUACAGCUAGAGUAUGGUGGGGGCAGAGGGAAUUCCCAGUGUAGCGGUGAAAUGCGUAGAGAUUGGGAAGAACACCAGUGGCGAAAGCGCUCUGCUAGGCCAUAACUGACACUCAGGGACGAAAGCUAGGGGAGCG